AAUCCACAAUGUCGUCCCGAUAUGUACUCCCGCACUCCACGCGAAUGAGUGGUCUAUCUUUUUUUAGAAUUUAGCGAACGAGACGCGAUGGGCUGAAUAGAAGCAGUAUCUUUGCGUUAGGCGCGCGCACUACAGUGCGCGGCCAUAGUGAAGCAAAAUAGCUGUAGACGUGAGAAUAGACAACAUGUUACUACUUUUUUGGUUGAGAGGUGCAGUGACCAGCUUCUAGAAGGAGUUUCGCGGGGGCAGUCCAGGUGGGCCCGCCGGUUGGUUGGGCCCACCAUCGCAGCGAGUUCUCUUUA